rnacentral:rRNA from 1 species
AUAGGGUCAAGUGAAUAAGUGCAUCAGGCGGAUGCCUUGGCGAUGAUAGGCGACGAAGGACGUGUAAGCCUGCGAAAAGCGCGGGGGAGCUGGCAAUAAAGCUAUGAUUCCGCGAUGUCCGAAUGGGGAAACCCACUGCAUUCUGUGCAGUAUCCUAAGUUGAAUACAUAGGCUUAGAGAAGCGAACCCGGAGAACUGAACCAUCUAAGUACCCGGAGGAAAAGAAAUCAACCGAGAUUCCGCAAGUAGUGGCGAGCGAACGCGGAGGAGCCUGUACGUAAUAACUGUCGAGAUAGAAGAACAAGCUGGGAAGCUUGACCAUAGCGGGUGACAGUCCCGUAUUCGAAAUCUCAACAGCGGUACUAAGCGUACGAAAAGUAGGGCGGGACACGUGAAAUCCUGUCUGAAUAUGGGGGGACCAUCCUCCAAGGCUAAAUACUCAUCAUCGACCGAUAGUGAACCAGUACCGUGAGGGAAAGGCGAAAAGAACCCCGGGAGGGGAGUGAAACAGAACCUGAAACCUGAUGCAUACAAACAGUGGGAGCGCCCUAGUGGUGUGACUGCGUACCUUUUGUAUAAUGGGUCAACGACUUACAUUCAGUAGCGAGCUUAACCGGAUAGGGGAGGCGUAGGGAAACCGAGUCUUAAUAGGGCGAUGAGUUGCUGGGUGUAGACCCGAAACCGAGUGAUCUAUCCAUGGCCAGGUUGAAGGUGCCGUAACAGGUACUGGAGGACCGAACCCACGCAUGUUGCAAAAUGCGGGGAUGAGCUGUGGGUAGGGGUGAAAGGCUAAACAAACUCGGAGAUAGCUGGUUCUCCCCGAAAACUAUUUAGGUAGUGCCUCGAGCAAGACACUGAUGGGGGUAAAGCACUGUUAUGGCUAGGGGGUUAUUGCAACUUACCAACCCAUGGCAAACUCAGAAUACCAUCAAGUGGUUCCUCGGGAGACAGACAGCGGGUGCUAACGUCCGUUGUCAAGAGGGAAACAACCCAGACCGCCGGCUAAGGUCCCAAAUGAUAGAUUAAGUGGUAAACGAAGUGGGAAGGCACAGACAGCCAGGAUGUUGGCUUAGAAGCAGCCAUCAUUUAAAGAAAGCGUAAUAGCUCACUGGUCGAGUCGUCCUGCGCGGAAGAUGUAACGGGGCUCAAAUCUAUAACCGAAGCUGCGGAUGCCGGUUUACCGGCAUGGUAGGGGAGCGUUCUGUAGGCUGAUGAAGGUGCAUUGUAAAGUGUGCUGGAGGUAUCAGAAGUGCGAAUGUUGACAUGAGUAGCGAUAAAGCGGGUGAAAAGCCCGCUCGCCGAAAGCCCAAGGUUUCCUACGCAACGUUCAUCGGCGUAGGGUGAGUCGGCCCCUAAGGCGAGGCAGAAAUGCGUAGUCGAUGGGAAACAGGUUAAUAUUCCUGUACUUGAUUCAAAUGCGAUGUGGGGACGGAGAAGGUUAGGUUGGCAAGCUGUUGGAAUAGCUUGUUUAAGCCGGUAGGUGGAAGACUUAGGCAAAUCCGGGUUUUCUUAACACCGAGAAGUGAUGACGAGUGUCUACGGACACGAAGCAACCGAUACCACGCUUCCAGGAAAAGCCACUAAGCUUCAGUUUGAAUCGAACCGUACCGCAAACCGACACAGGUGGGCAGGAUGAGAAUUCUAAGGCGCUUGAGAGAACUCGGGAGAAGGAACUCGGCAAAUUGAUACCGUAACUUCGGGAGAAGGUAUGCCCUCUAAGGUUAAGGACUUGCUCCGUAAGCCCCGGAGGGUCGCAGAGAAUAGGUGGCUGCGACUGUUUAUUAAAAACACAGCACUCUGCCAACACGAAAGUGGACGUAUGGGGUGUGACGCCUGCCCGGUGCCGGAAGGUUAAUUGAAGAUGUGCAAGCAUCGGAUCGAAGCCCCGGUAAACGGCGGCCGUAACUAUAACGGUCCUAAGGUAGCGAAAUUCCUUGUCGGGUAAGUUCCGACCCGCACGAAUGGCGUAACGAUGGCCACACUGUCUCCUCCCGAGACUCAGCGAAGUUGAAGUGGUUGUGAAGAUGCAAUCUACCCGCUGCUAGACGGAAAGACCCCGUGAACCUUUACUGUAGCUUUGCAUUGGACUUUGAAGUCACUUGUGUAGGAUAGGUGGGAGGCUUGGAAGCAGAGACGCCAGUCUCUGUGGAGUCGUCCUUGAAAUACCACCCUGGUGUCUUUGAGGUUCUAACCCAGACCCGUCAUCCGGGUCGGGGACCGUGCAUGGUAGGCAGUUUGACUGGGGCGGUCUCCUCCCAAAGCGUAACGGAGGAGUUCGAAGGUUACCUAGGUCCGGUCGGAAAUCGGACUGAUAGUGCAAUGGCAAAAGGUAGCUUAACUGCGAGACCGACAAGUCGGGCAGGUGCGAAAGCAGGACAUAGUGAUCCGGUGGUUCUGUAUGGAAGGGCCAUCGCUCAACGGAUAAAAGGUACUCCGGGGAUAACAGGCUGAUUCCGCCCAAGAGUUCAUAUCGACGGCGGAGUUUGGCACCUCGAUGUCGGCUCAUCACAUCCUGGGGCUGUAGUCGGUCCCAAGGGUAUGGCUGUUCGCCAUUUAAAGUGGUACGUGAGCUGGGUUUAAAACGUCGUGAGACAGUUUGGUCCCUAUCUGCAGUGGGCGUUGGAAGUUUGACGGGGGCUGCUCCUAGUACGAGAGGACCGGAGUGGACGAACCUCUGGUGUACCGGUUGUAACGCCAGUUGCAUAGCCGGGUAGCUAAGUUCGGAAGAGAUAAGCGCUGAAAGCAUCUAAGCGCGAAACUCGCCUGAAGAUGAGACUUCCCUUGCGGUUUAACCGCACUAAAGGGUCGUUCGAGACCAGGACGUUGAUAGGUGGGGUGUGGAAGCGCGGUAACGCGUGAAGCUAACCCAUACUAAUUGCCCGUGAGGCUUGACUCUAU